GCUAUGCCAGGAAUACGCAUUUGUGGAAAGAUGCAGAUUGUUACUUUGUCUAUGGCAGGUCUACCGCAGCAAUAAAUCACUUAUUGACCGGACGCCCCCGAUCGUCAGUGAACAGGAUUGUGAAAGCGAACAGCACUGAGCUUGACGAAUCUGCCAUGAGGUCACCGUCCGAAGGUGACGACCGACUCCGAAGACAAUCUAAUAGUGUACACAGCGAGACAAGACCCAAAAAUGACCUCAAAAGAAAUAAAGAACGACCCAGGUUUCAUAGGCAGCACCCAAACAGCACGGGAGCAUCUAUUUUGGCCGGUGCAAGAGGGUAAGAACGUCAUUUUUUCGGACGAGAGCACUUUCACUUCAAUGUGGAAUCAGCAGCAAUGAACGUGGAGGACGCAAAACACGAGAUUCAGAGUACGCCCGACCAUAUGCAGCAUUUGCGACGGCCGAGGAGUUGGAAGCAUCAGUGUAGUACUCAACAUACAAUGUAUUUUGCCUGCAAGUACAUAAAAGGAUGAUUGAUUGUGACUGGGAGGCCAUGCUCUCCUACCUCCAGGAAUGACAAGUCACAAUUGAUAGCCCGCAUUUCCCACGGUGCAAUAGUGUCCUUGUGGGAGCAUAGUUAAAUGUUGGAGACGGGUAUAUGCAAAUUUUCAAAGUGUGAGGCAACUGUGAUGGGAUACGUAGCUGAUGGUCGCCUCAAAAACAGGUGGGUGUUUGAUGUAUCCUGCAAUAGCUCGCGAGAUGGGUGGUCGACAUGGGAAAGCACCUUGGUUGCAUACUUCAUGCUUGUGAACUGCCGUCUUCGUUUUAAUAACCACCAGUCCGUCUCAACGUACAGGCUGACGGUUGGGCUGGUUCGGAAAGCACCACUAGCCAGACGAAGCCCAUGGUGAUGCACUGGUUCGAGCAUCUUAAGUGCAGAUCUCGACGCUGAUUUGUAUACAACCAAGCCAUAAUCAAUACGUGAGAGCACUACAAUGCUGAGAAGGUUUAAUAGACAGUCGCAAUUUGUACGCCUUGACUGAUGCGAGAGAAUCUUGAGCAAGUUCAAGGCUUUGAAGCAUUUUAAUCGCAGCAGCUUGAUAUGUGAGACAAAGCUGAGCUUUUCAUCUAUUACAACACCGAGAAAUUUCUGAUCCUUCUUAGCAGCAAUGGAGUGUUCAGUCAUGCAAAAUGUUUGGGGAUGGCCUUAUUCUACGUAGUUUUAAAAAGAAUAGGCAAACAGUCAAGUCAAAGCUAAACUCAAAGCCAUUUUUCUCUGCCUAGCUUCAGAGCUGAUUUACCUUCCAACUUUAUCUGACGUUCGCAGAUGGCUAGGUUGCACUAUUUGAAGCUGAUCUGAAUGUCAUCCACAUAUACAGAAUACGAGAUUUUUUUAGGCAGUAUACCGCUUAUGGAGUUCAUUUUACGAUGAAUAGUGUGCAACUAAGAACGCCAACUUAGAUUACAGCAUCUUCCGGCGUAAACCGCUUUUAAAGGGCAUUUCUGACACGAACCACGAACUAACGUUCAGAGAGGUAACUUUUAAUUGAAUUCAACAUGUUCUCUGACACUCCAAAAGAUUGCAAGUCACGGAUUAUGCCACAACUACAUGUCGUGUCAUAAGCCUUCUCCAAGUCGAAAAAUACAGAGAGGCAGUGUUGUUUGUGAGUGAAGGCAUCUCCGACAUAGCACUCGAAUGCUGCCAGUUGGUCAGUUGUCAACCAUCCUGACCUGAAUCCAGAGUGACGACGGUCAAGCAGGCCAUUAUAUUCAAGGUAAUACAUUAGGCGGCAGUUUACCACUUUUUCAAUUACUUUGCACAAGCAGCUUGUCAGGGCGAUAGGCGUAAAACAAGCAGCAAGUGUUGCUUCUUUUUUUUGUUUAAGGAUGGGUAUUAUAACUGCCUCUUUCUAGGCCUUGCGUAGGCGCCCGGAGGACCAUACGUUGUUGAACAGUAAGAGAAUGGCAGUAAGCGUGUGUUCGUGUAAGUGUUUCAGCAUUCCAAAUGUAAUCUUGCCUGGGCAUGCGGCUGAAUUGCCACAUGUUGCCAGAAUUGCCUUCAAUUCGUCUAUGGUAAACAAAGUGUUGUAGCCUCCAGCAGAUGGCCUUCUAUCACGGAUUGACUUACGAUCCUCAGCAAGAUUUUGUCGUUUAAAGGAGUCUGUGUAGUGUGCUGAGCUGAUAAUGUAUUCAAAUUGUUGUGCUAUGACAUCUGCCUGUUGUUCCAGCGUAUGACCAGCAGUACUGACGAGAGGGACUCGAUGAGUGUUGUGCCCUUGGAGUGCUCUUACUCUGUUGUACACCGUAUGCGUAUCAGUGUAGGAGUUAACUGACGAGAGAAAAGACUGCCAGCUCUGCCGCUUCGGUCCUCGUCGGAUACGCCUACCAUUUGUUUUGCACGCUUCAAAUUGAUCAAGUGGUCAGCUGUAUGGUACGUGCGAAAUUUCGACAAAGCUUUGUUUUGGUUCUUACGAGCUUUUUUGCACUCCGAAUUGCACCAGGGCCUUCGUUUGUUUCACGUCUUGUCAGAUGUGUGUGGGAUUGAUUGCUCUGCGGUUUCUAUGUUAUGAAGUGCGACCCAUGCUUCACAGUCAUUAAUGUCUUGGUAUUCAAUUGAGGAACGCUACAUUUAUGUAAGUUCUCGGAAUUUCAUCCAGUCAGCAUCCCGUUCUUUAAACUUGAAUACAAUUUUAGUCGUCUUACUUGUACUUCCUGUGUGUUUUAGACAGACAGGAAAAUUAUCACUACCAUAGAGGUUAAUAAUAACAGCUCACUCUGUGGUCGCCAUGAUUGAAGGAGAGCCGAUAGCAAGAUCAAUAGCAGUGCAUAGGAUGCGCAUCACGUCAAAGUAUGCUGGUUCUUUUUUGGUAAAUAUACAGGAGCCAGAGUACAAAAGGAAUUUUUUUUCUUAGAGAGCCUCGAGAAUCUGUUCCUCUGCAAUCCCACAGGAGGUUGUGUACAUAAAAAUCUCCAACCAGGAGGAAUAAACGCGGGAGCUGGUCAAUGAGUGUUUCAAACUCUUUAGUAGACAUGUGGUAGUCCGGAGGGAUAUAUAAUGAGCACGCAGUUGCCAUUCUUCCAAAGAUAUAUCGUCACUACCUCUAAGUAAGUAACCAGAGUGAGGCUUCGGAACAGGAGUGCUUUCUGCACCCGGAUAGCGCACCGCUGGAUGAAGGGGCAGUGCCAUGUCUGUCCUUUCGGUAUACCACAUAUAUUCUUAGAAGGCUAGUGUGCGUUGAGUUUAGGUGUGUCUCUUGCAGGCAAAGUAUGUUAGAUUGGUGUUCCGCAAGAAUUUCAUAAAUGUCGUUCAGGUUCUUCGAUAGACCUCGGCAGUUCCAGUAGAUGAUAGUCUAGGCAGCCAUUUUUAAGAAUGAAGAAAGGAAAGGAGGGUUAUUCAGACUUCGCCACAUUUGUCAGCCGCCUGGACUGGAGAGUGUUUCUUCCCUCUGAGGCGUUCUAUUGGGCUCCAUUUGUCUAGGAGCGAUUCCGUGAGCAUCGGAGACACUGUGGACACUGGUGUCACAUCCAUUGCCCCUAUGAACACUCGGAGGCUGAUGAGGGUUUCUCAAGAGAGACAGGUGCCCUUUCAGAUGUCUGUGUCGUUGCCGAGGUCUGAUGGAGGUUCACCGGCGGGAUUUGAAUUGUCUGUGUUGUCUCUGAGGUCUGAGGGAGGUUGACCUGUGGGGCUUCGAACGUUGGUGCUGCCUGCCACUGCUUGGUGGGGAACCGAGAUGUGCACGCAUCAGCGAAGCUGUACUUCGUGCCCACCGCUGCUAGACAACCGCCAGGCUACGGCACACUGCGUCAAUGUACGAUCUUCUGGAGAAGAGGGAGACCUCCCUCCCGGCUUCGAAGUAAGCUAUGUUUUUCGUUACUUUAAUUUAGUUUUCCUUUUUGAAAACUAACAUGUCCGCCAGUACGCUGCAUGCUAACCAUGACAGUUAGGGCACUCUGUUUGCUUGGAAGUACCGCUCUUGUUUGGGUGCU